AGUGAACGCUGGCGGUAGGCCUAACACAUGCAAGUCGAACGGCAGCACAGUAAGAGCUUGCUCUUACGGGUGGCGAGUGGCGGACGGGUGAGGAAUACAUCGGCAUCUACUUUUUCGUGGGGGAUAACGUAGGGACACUUACGCUAAUACCUCAUACGACCUACGGGUGAAAGCAGGGGAUCUUCGGACCUUGCGCGAUUGAAUGAGCCGAUGUCGGAUUAGCUAGUUGGCGGGGUAAAGGCCCACCAAGGCGACGAUGCGUAGCUGGUCUGAGAGGAUGAUCAGCCACACUGGAACUGAGACACGGUCCAGACUCCUACGGGAGGCAGCAGUGGGGAAUAUUGGGCAAUGGGCGAAAGCCUGAUCCAGCCAUACCGCGUGGGUGAAGAAGGCCUUCGGGUUGUAAAACCCUUUUGUUGGGAAAGAAAAGCAGCAGGUGAAUAUCCCGCUGUUCUGACGGUACCCAAAGAAUAAGCACCGGCUAACUUCGUG
rnacentral:rRNA from 1 species